rnacentral:rRNA from 1 species
UACGUAGGUGGCAAGCGUUGUCCGGAAUUAUUGGGCGUAAAGCGCUCGCAGGCGGUCUUUUAAGUCUGAUGUGAAAUCUCGUGGCUUAACCACGAACGGUCAUUGGAAACUGGAGGACUUGAGUACAGAAGAGGAGAGUGGAAUUCCACGUGUAGCGGUGAAAUGCGUAGAUAUCUGCAGGAACACCCGUGGCGAAAGCGGCGCGCUGGACCACUACUGACGCUGAGGAACGAAAGCUAGGGGAGCAAACAGG